GGGGGGUNACGNGUUUCUNNGNNCGCCNCNAUANGGGAAAANCNUGAAGUGACUGUNCCUNCCUAAGAAGCACCGGNUAAAUACGUGCCAGCAGCCGCGGUAAUACGUAUGGUGCAAGCGUUAUCCGGAUUUACUGGGUGUAAAGGGAGCGCAGGCAGUGCGGCAAGUCUGAUGUGAAAGCCCGGGGCUCAACCCCGGUACUGCAUUGGAAACUGUCNUACUAGAGUGUCGGAGGGGUAAGCGGANUUCCUAGUGUAGCGGUGAAAUGCGUACAUAUUAGGAGGAACACCAGUGGNGAAGGCGGCUUACUGGACGAUAACUGACGCUGAGGCUCGAAAGCGUGGGGAGCAAACAGGAUUAGAUACCCUGGUAGUCCAAGGGCGAAUUC
rnacentral:rRNA from 1 species